rnacentral:tRNA from 1 species
GCUGGCUGGACCAGCACACCCGCGAUCUGCUGGCCUUCGGCCGGCGGACCGCCGACCCCGAGGGCGGCGCCCGCUGGCUCGGCGCCGGCGGCCUGCCC